CUACGGGGCGCUGCAGUGGGGAAUAUUGCACAAUGGAGGAAACUCUGAUGCAGCAACGCCGCGUGGAGGAUGGCACUUUUCGGAGCGUAAACUCCUUUUAUAUAGGAAGAAGAUGACGGUACUAUAUGAAUAAGCGCCGGCUAACUCCGUGCCAGCAGCCGCGGUAAUACGGAGGGCGCAAGCGUUACUCGGAAUCACUGGGUGUAAAGAGCGUGUAGGCGGAUUAAAAAGUCAGAAGUGAAAUCCUAUAGCUUAACUAUAGAACUGCUUCUGAAACUCUUAAUCUAGAAUAUGGGAGAGGUAGAUGGAAUUUCUGGUGUAGGGGUAAAAUCCGUAGAGAUCAGAAGGAAUACCGAUUGCGAAGGCGAUCUACUAGAACAUUAUUGACGCUGAGACGCGAAAGCGUGGGGAGCAAACAGGAUUAGAUACCCUCGUAGUC
rnacentral:rRNA from 1 species